CCUACGGGUGGCAGCAGUGAGGAAUAUUGGGCAAUGGGCGGAAGCCUGAACCAGCCAAGUCGCGUGAGGGAUGAAGGUUCUAUGGAUUGUAAACCUCUUUUAUAAGGGAAUAAAGUGUGGGACGUGUCCCGUUUUGUAUGUACCUUAUGAAUAAGGAUCGGCUAACUCCGUGCCAGCAGCCGCGGUAAUACGGAGGAUCCGAGCGUUAUCCGGAUUUAUUGGGUUUAAAGGGUGCGUAGGCGGCCUUUUAAGUCAGCGGUGAAAGUCUGUGGCUCAACCAUAGAAUUGCCGUUGAAACUGGGAGGCUGGAGUGUGUUUGAGGCAGGCGGAAUGCGUGGUGUAGCGGUGAAAUGCUUAGAUAUCACGCAGAACCCCGAUUGCGAAGGCAGCCUGCCAAGCCAUGACUGACGCUGAUGCACGAAAGCGUGGGGAUCAAACAGGAUUAGAUACCCCAGUAGUC
rnacentral:rRNA from 1 species